rnacentral:rRNA from 1 species
UACGAAGGGUGCAAGCGUUACUCGGAAUUACUGGGCGUAAAGCGUGCGUAGGUGGUUCGUUAAGUCUGAUGUGAAAGCCCUGGGCUCAACCUGGGAAUGGCAUUGGAUACUGGCGACCUAGAGUGCGGUAGAGGGGUGUGGAAUUCCCGGUGUAGCAGUGAAAUGCGUAGAUAUCGGGAGGAACAUCUGUGGCGAAGGCGACACCCUGGACCAGCACUGACACUGAGGCACGAAAGUGUGGGGAGCAAACAGG